rnacentral:rRNA from 1 species
CCCUUAGAUGUCCUGGGCUGCACGCGCGCUACACUGAUGUGUCCAGUAAGCACCUAACCUCUUCCGAAAGGAACGGGUAACCUUUGCAAAGCACAUCGUGAUGGGGAUAGAUUAUUGCAAUUAUUAGUCUUGAACGAGGAAUUCCUAGUAAGCACAAGUCAUCAGCGUGUGUUGAUUACGUCCCUGCCCUUUGUACACACCGCCCGUCGCUCCUACCGAUUGAAUGUUCCGGUGAGCUCUUCGGACUGCGCGGUCUGCAGUUUCUGCGUUCCGUGCGGAAAGUUGCGCAAACCUUAACAUUUAGAGGAAGGAGAAGUCGUAACA